rnacentral:rRNA from 1 species
AUUGAACGCUGGCGGCAUGCCUUACACAUGCAAGUCGAACGGCAGCAUGAUCUAGCUUGCUAGAUUGAUGGCGAGUGGCGAACGGGUGAGUAAUACAUCGGAACGUGCCCUGUAGUGGGGGAUAACUAGUCGAAAGAUUAGCUAAUACCGCAUACGACCUGAGGGUGAAAGUGGGGGACCGCAAGGCCUCAUGCUAUAGGAGCGGCCGAUGUCUGAUUAGCUAGUUGGUGAGGUAAAGGCUCACCAAGGCGACGAUCAGUAGCUGGUCUGAGAGGACGAUCAGCCACACUGGGACUGAGACACGGCCCAGACUCCUACGGGAGGCAGCAGUGGGGAAUUUUGGACAAUGGGCGAAAGCCUGAUCCAGCAAUGCCGCGUGUGUGAAGAAGGCCUUCGGGUUGUAAAGCACUUUUGUCCGGAAAGAAAUGGCUCUGGUUAAUACCCGGGGUCGAUGACGGUACCGGAAGAAUAAGGACCGGCUAACUACGUG